rnacentral:rRNA from 1 species
ACGGGUGCGGAACACGUACGCAACCUUCCUUUAAGAGAUGAAUAGCCCGAAGAAAUUCGGAUUAAUGCAUCGUAAGAUUGUGGGAUGGCAUCAUCCAGCAAUUAAAGAUUUAUUUCGCUUAAAGAUGGGCGUGCGCCUGAUUAGGUAGUUGGUGAGGUAACGGCUCACCAAGCCGACGAUCAGUAACUGGCGUGAGAGCGCGACCAGUCACACGGGCACUGAGACACGGGCCCGACUCCUACGGGAGGCAGCAGUAAGGAAUAUUGGUCAAUGGACGCAAGUCUGAACCAGCCAUGCCGCGUGAAGGAUGAAAGCCCUCUGGGUUGUAAACUUCUUUUAUCUGGGAAGAAACCACUUUUUUCUAAAGGUGUUGACGGUACCAGAGGAAUAAGCACCGGCUAACUCCGUGCC